AUUGAACGCUGGCGGCAUGCCUUACGCAUGCAAGUCGAACGGUAACAGGUCUUCGGAUGCUGACGAGUGGCGAACGGGUGAGUAAUACAUCGGAACGUGCCUAGUAGUGGGGGAUAACUACUCGAAAGAGUGGCUAAUACCGCAUGAGAUCUACGGGAGAAAGCAGGGGAUCGCAAGACCUUGUGCUACUAGAGCGGCCGAUGGCAGAUUAGGUGGUUGGUGGAAUAAAAGCUUACCAAGCCGACGAUCUGUAGCUGGUCUGAGAGGACGAUCAGCCACACUGGGACUGAGAAACGGCCCAGACUCCUACGGGAGGCAGCAGUGGGGAAUUUUGGACAAUGGGCGCAAGCCUGAUCCAGCAAUGCCGCGUGCAGGAUGAAGGCCUUCGGGUUGUAAACUGCUUUUGUACGGAACGAAAAGCCCCGGGUUAAUACCCUGGGGUCAUGACGGUACCGUAAGAAUAAGCACCGGCUAACUACGUGCCAGCAGCCGCCGUAA
rnacentral:rRNA from 1 species